AAAAACAGGGGACGCAGCUGCGGGGGUUCCAGCUGGUUCCGCCAUUACAGGCACUCCAAGCGCACCCUCCCCUGCUCCCGCCAUCCCAUCGGUGGUCUCCUCGGGCCGUGGCACCGGGCCGGCCUACCCCUCCGGCCUGACGGCGAACUCCUCCUCCGCGCCCAAGCCCUCCGGCCUCUCGACCGUGUCGCGGCGUCCGCCCUCCCGCUUCCGAGCGCGGUUCUCCGCCGUGAGCAUCGCCACCGCUUCGCUGAGAUCCCCUCCACGCCCCCUCCGCCUUCCUUCCGCGGCUGCGCCUACGCGCCGACGUGACGCGACCUGCCUCUGCUUAUCCGUCUCUGGGCCGGCGGGUGCCUGCUACAUGUUCGACCAAAUGGUUCAGUGCCCGUUUCUCCUUUCUCUUACUAGUUUUACAACUUCCAGAAAAUCGUGAUCCUGCGCUACCAAGCCUUAUGGCAGUUCCAUCUGAACCCGCCACUGCCAUCACCGCGAACCGGGACUUUGGAAAUUCGACUGGGUUUGAUCAUUCUGUACCAAGUCUGCUUGCAUUUGACCUAUUGCCGGGCUAGCUUCAUCACUCAAAUAAAGGGUCAUGGUUCAUCUUUACUUCGAGAUCUAACUCUCCAUAGCAAUAAAUUCUACAAAUAUGACCAGCUUCAAUCUGCUUCGAAAUUAUGGCACUUAUCUAUCGUUCUGGGAUAAUUAUCUACUAUUUUAUUGUGCUGGCCUAUUUUCAUGAGCAUUCCUUUCUAUGCCUGAAACCACUUUUCAGUCUUGACAUGGGAUACUGAGUAUUCAUGCCCUCCUACACCUUCCUACAUGGUGUAGGUGAGAGCACUGCAUUGUUGGGGGAUUUAUCCUGAUAUCAGUAGUAAUAACUCAAUAUGUCAGCUAAUUUUGCAUGCUGUAUUCA